AUCACUGUUCAUAUCGAACACACCCGAUUUUAUUUUUCCCAUAAUUCUUUGCAACGUGCUUGGCCGACGCUAACAAUAGGCGCUAAGUUAUACCCGGCCGAGCUGUCCAGCAAUACAGACGUGCUUAGUGUGUGAAGGGGGUAUCGUGUUAGAAGCCUGUGUGGCAUGUUUUAGUUUCACAAGUUCAGCAUUUGACGCGGACACGGAUAGCUGACCGUGUGUCAUAUUGUUGAUGUUGAGAAGAUGAUGAUGUUAUGGUGAUGUCGAUGACUACGAUGAUGAUGAUGGUCAUGUCGAUGAUGAUGGUGUAGAUGAUGUCGUUCAUGGUGAAGUCGAUGACGAUGCGAUGUUCAUGUUGAUGACGACGAUGAUGUUAUGGUGAUGACGAUGAUGUCUUUUGUGAUUAUGGUGUUGUAGGCGAUGAUGUUGACGAUAGUGUCGAUGAUUAUGAUGGCGAUGGUGAUGAUGAUGAUUGUGGUGACGAAACUACUCUAGUUGUGGUUGUCCGUAGUUGGUCCAGGACUACAGCCCCGGAGAUUCGGACACUCUUCUAAUUUAUUUUUGGUCAUUUGUAUAAACAUCAUAUUUUUUCUUGUUGAGUGAAAGUUGUGUGAGUGUUUGUGUGGUUUAGUGUUUAUAUUUCUAUCUUUUCUUUCUUUCUCUUAUUUUUUUUGUUAUUAAAUUUUGUUAAAUUUAA